AAUAAAAAUAAAUAAAAUAUAUAUAUAAAAAUAAUACUCCAUUAAAUGAAUGAAUGAAUGAAUGAAACUCCUAAUAAAAGCCUCUACUGGCGGUUUCCGUUGACUGCAACACUCGCUCCUCCUACAGAUGGCGGCUCCCCGCAAACACAACAGCACUAUCUUUCAUCAUGGAGUGUAUCAAAUAAAUUUACACAAUGGCUGACACACGGCCACCUGAUAGAAAACUGGAAGCAUGUAGCACAGUGCAAGAAAUAAUUCCGCUUGGUGCUCCGCGACGUGACAGUGUAGCUGCCACACCACAUCCUGUGUCAGGUAGUCCACGUAUUGAACCUUCUGAGAAGAAUCCAAAAUUCUUGAACUCCCUGCCUAAUUGCAUCCAGCCCACCAAAAACCCUGAGCUGGAGCAGAGGGGCAAGAACACUUCAGUUGCACUCAAAGCCUCCAACAAGAGACCAGAACAGGACACUAUUCACAAUCGCAAAGUUAUAGGGAGAAAACUACAACCUAAUAAUGGCAACAUUAACUCCAGGAAGAAUGGCUCUCUCAAUCAAACAGUUAAAAAGGACAUCCUGCAGAGGACCAGUUCUUACAACAGAAACAAAGAAAUUUCUUAUGCUAUCACUAAGGAGCUGAAUGAAAACCUGAAGGUAAAUGCAACUCUUAAUUAAAGUUAUUAUACACAUUUCUAAGAGUAUUGUAAUGCAGGGAUUCCCAAAUUUCAGCCAAAUUGAAUUAAAUCCUAAACAAAUUGUUUUAUUCUGUGAAAUGGCAAGAUAUAACAGUUGAAAUACUUUAGAGCUGAGCAUAAAUAGAAAACAAUUUAAUGCAAAAAUUGAAACUUUUUCCAUGACUUUCCAUGACUGAAUAAAUAAUUGCUGUACCUACUGCGAUUAUUUAAGUUAAUAUUUCAGUAAUUUAACAACACAUUUGCAUCUACACAGUUUCUGGUGUUGGUUAAUGGUCAAAUGACAUGCAGGUAAACACACUAAAUAUUUUAUAUCAGUAGUCUUUUAUUUUAAUUGUUUUUAUUUAGAAUUUUUUUUUUUUUUUAUGAUUUAAUUAUUAGCUCUUCAUGAAGUCACAAACCCCCUGCAGUUCCCUUAGCAUGGGAAACCCUGUAUUACUCAAUACUUUACAUUGGCUUAUAUGUUAACUGUUUUUUUUUCUGGUGAAUAACCUCAGGGCUUUGGCGGUCAUGGAAAAUAUUAUGCAAUUAUAAAAUGGGGUUUUCCAGGAUGUAAAUUUGUUGAAAGUAAUAAAUCUAGAUUUUUUUUUAUUUUUUUUUGCAUUGAAUUGAAUUGAUUGAAAUUUUUUCCCUAUUUAUGCUGUUUUAUCAGUUAUAUCUUGCUAUUGUUCAUAAUAUAUCUUUUCAUUGUGAUGUCCAAUUUGUGCGCUUUUAAGAUUGUUCUUUUCUGUGAUUUGAUCAAAUGGGUUCUCGGAUAAAUCUGAAUAAUUCAUUAAUGCAUCUGUCAUAAUCAAAGAUGAUUUGUUUUUAAAUGACUGGAAAGGCCAAAGUACUGGAAUUUAAUUACUCCAAAAUGUGGGAGCCCUGUCAUUUAGAUUUUGUUACGUAAUUGUGAUAGCUUGUGGUUGGUGUUUGUUUAUUGUAU
ensembl:lncRNA